rnacentral:lncRNA from 1 species
GAAAAUACGUUAGUUUAAAUCAACUCCCCGGCAAUGGCGCCAAUUUUUGAUAAGCGGUUGUCGAAGCCGUCAAAAAUAACCUAUUAUCAAUCAACAAAUAAAUUUGCAGAUAGUGGCAAUAGGGUCGAACCACAGGGAAUUGACACCAAGUAUCUUCCUAAUAAUGACUAAGGCAAGUAAUAACGAAUAAGUAAAAGAGGGGGGUUUGUUUUGAUGAGUUAAAAUCUAAAAGCAAAAGAG